rnacentral:rRNA from 1 species
GACGUAGGGCGCGAGCGUUGUCCGGAUUCAUUGGGCGUAAAGGGUGCGUAGGCGGUCGCGCAAGUCGGAUGUGAAAUCUCAGGGCUCAACCCUGAAACUGCAUUCGAUACUGCGUGGCUAGAGUGCUGGAGAGGAGACUGGAAUUUACGGUGUAGCAGUGAAAUGCGUAGAUAUCGUAAGGAAGACCAGUGGCGAAGGCGAGUCUCUGGACAGCAACUGACGCUGAGGCACGAAGGCCAGGGGAGCAAACGGG